rnacentral:rRNA from 1 species
UGGGGAAUUUUGGACAAUGGGCGAAAGCCUGAUCCAGCAAUGCCGCGUGUGUGAAGAAGGCCUUCGGGUUGUAAAGCACUUUUGUCCGGAAAGAAAUCCUUGGCUCUAAUACAGUCGGGGGAUGACGGUACCGGAAGAAUAAGCACCGGCUAACUACGUGCCAGCAGCCGCGGUAAUACGUAGGGUGCAAGCGUUAAUCGGAAUUACUGGGCGUAAAGCGUGCGCAGGCGGUUUGCUAAGACCGAUGUGAAAUCCCCGGGCUCAACCUGGGAACUGCAUUGGUGACUGGCAGGCUAGAGUAUGGCAGAGGGGGGUAGAAUUCCACGUGUAGCAGUGAAAUGCGUAGAGAUGUGGAGGAAUACCGAUGGCGAAGGCAGCCCCCUGGGCCAAUACUGACGCUCAUGCACGAAAGCGUGGGGAGCAAACAGGAUUAGAUACCCUGGUAGUCCACGCCCUAAACGAUGUCAACUAGUUGUUGGGAUUCAUUUCCUAGUAACGUAGCUAACGCGUGAAGUUGACCGCCUGGGGAGUACGGUCGCAAGAUUAAACUCAAAUG